GUUUGGAAAAUUGGGGGUGGGGAGGUGCGAGGCCACCUCUAAGUUUGUGGUGUGGUAUUGGUGGGCUGCUCAGUCUUUGGCGUGCUGUGGUGGUCUUUCUCCACUGCUAGCUCUUGUAGCUCUGGCCCCCUGCCUGGCACCAUGCUGCUGUCAUGGCCAGUUUGGUGGGGCGGUAGAGGGAACCUCCUCCUGGGUCCCAGGGGCUCAUUGCCCCUCUGGGGUAUCCGUACCUGGACCUGGGAGUAUAGAGUGUGUAUGGGGAGUUCAAUUUGGGUCUUGGGCUUCCCCCUUUCUUCUGUCUUCUUGGGCUGCCCGGAAACCCCAAAAGGAUGGGGUUUAGGGGGGCUUUGGAUGGUCUGUCCAAUCUCCUCUGUGUCCGCCUCGGGUCCUGGAGGCAGAAAUUCCACCAAAAAGGCAGAGUGAGCUGAUGUCACAAUAGCCACAUCAAUGAAUGAUUUGUCAAGUUACAACAAAAAUGAAUAAGUCUACAAGGUCUCCUUGUUGCACCUAUCCGAUUGUGUUUUAUGUGUUUUCUGUUGCAGAUUUGACACAGAUUUGAUAUCUGCUUUUGUCUGCUCUGUUCUUGAAUAUAAAUGGGAAUUGCCCACACUUUAUGUUUACUCAGAAAUACACCAAAAAGAAACAUUAUUUAGGCUUGGGCCAACAUGCAGGCUACUAUUACUUUGAAGCUUCACAGAGGAGCCUGUGGAGCUCAGAGGAGAGACAAGGAUGUUUGUAACAAGUUCAUGUGGUACCCAGGUAAUAAUCUGGUAGUAAUCACUUCCACUCAGCCAUUCAGGCCCAUUCAUUGUUAUUGGUGUAAUGUAUCAUUUUGUAGCAUAAUUACAUAAAAAGCACAGAAAGAAUUUAAAAAGUACUCACCCCUUUGGAACUGUAUAUGUUUCUGGUUUGAUUUUUUUUUGUUGUUUUGUUUUUAUUUAGUUACAAGUUAAACAUGUAGAAAUCCCAGUUUGUGUCAAAAUAAAGUUUCAUUGA